rnacentral:rRNA from 1 species
AUGGAAUCGAGCGGCCUGAGGAAGAGAGUAGCCGAUAUGAUGGAUGGGGGCAAGUACAAGCCAAAAGGCUAUGGGAUGGCCGGCCCCGGCCAGAGGCUCCCGUGUGCGCUGCUGCUGAUGCUGGUUCUCGCCGCCGCCGCGUUGAGCGUCGUCGUCACGCACAAGGUCAGGGAGCAGCGUGCCUUUGCUGUGGUUCUCAAGGAGCGCGACGUGCAGGCCGUCUCCCUCCGGAUCCAACUCCAGAAAGAGAAGGCAUACGGCAAAGAGACCAAGAGGAAGGCGGAAGAAAUGAAGGCCACAAUGUCUUCCCUGAGAACACAGAAGACAGACCUGAAAACAAAGCUCAAGGCGCUGGAAGCCACAGCCACAAUCCUCAAGAACGUGCAGAAAGAGCUCGAAGCAUCUCUCAAGGAGAGAGAGAGCCGCAUCAGCCAAAUGGAAGGGAAAGCCGCAAAUCUUCACAGCACUCGGAAAGCACUGGAAGCAACUGUGAAGGAACGAGACAACCGCAUCAAGCAAAUGCAAGAUAAAGUCACGAGUCUUGAGAAAACUCUGAAGGAACAGGAGCUGUCUCUGAAGGCGAGAGACAGCCGCAUCAGCCAACUGGAGGAGAAAACCGCCGCAGCGUCAAAUCCUGACCAGAUGGCAGCUCUCAUGGAAAUCCUGCAGCGGAAGGAAGCCGAACUCGAGGAGAUCAAGACCAGGUUCCAGGACUACAGGACUACAGACAGAAAGGUCGUAAGUAGUAAGAGCACUUCGGCACGAACAAACCCAACAACACCUGCCGUUGUAGUAGCAGCAAAGGUUACAAACUCCAGCAGGAAUAGUACUGUAGCUGCUAGAUCAGAAGAGAAGAGAGCUGGCAACACCACAGUGACAGAAAGCAAAAUUCAGAAACCGAAGACCAGAUCUUUAGAAGAAAAGCAAGCGAAGCUCGCAGUCGCAGGCAAUGCACAAGUUGAUGAUUUGCAAGAGCAAGACACUGAUUUCUUAGAUAUGGAUGAUAUUUAUGGAGGCAGCCAUACCAAGAAGUCUGAACUUGCUCGGCGGAACAAGAAGGUUUUGGCCGACCGUCAUGUCGAAAACCAAAAGUCAGGGCACCCCCUGGACCAGCAGGACAGCCAUCAUGUCAGAUAUAACAAGCUGCUUGAGAAGGAGAACAUCAAACCAGAUGAAACCAAGAAGAAGAACGGUACGGUUGGGCACUUGGAAAAGAUCCCCAAAGAUGAAACCAAGAAGAAGAACAGUACUGUUGGGCACUUGGAAAAGAUCCCCAAAGAUGAUACCAAGAAGAAGAACAGUACUGUUGGGCACUUGGAAAAGAUCUCCAAAGAUGAAACCAAGAAGAAGAACAGUACUGUUGGGCACUUGGAAAAGAUCUCCAAAGACAGCUUAAGCGACGUCAACCUAGACAGACCGAGACAAGGGGUGACUGGUGCUGCUGAUGUGCAGCCCAAGGUGCCUGUAAAUGAUGAUUUGCAGCAAAACAAGAAGCAGAAGAACAAAAAGCCCAAAUCCAAGAAGAAGGUGGUCGAUACUUCAACUUGGUGA